UACGAAGGGGGCUAGCGUUGCUCGGAAUCACUGGGCGUAAAGCGCACGUAGGCGGCUUUCUAAGUCAGGGGUGAAAUCCUGGAGCUCAACUCCAGAACUGCCUUUGAUACUGGAGAGCUUGAGUCCGGGAGAGGUGAGUGGAACUGCGAGUGUAGAGGUGAAAUUCGUAGAUAUUCGCAAGAACACCAGUGGCGAAGGCGGCUCACUGGCCCGGUACUGACGCUGAGGUGCGAAAGCGUGGGGAGCGAACAGG
rnacentral:rRNA from 1 species